AUGGGAGCCCAGAGAGCAAAUAUAGGACCCAAGAGGACGAAUAUGAAACUCCAGAGGAAGAUUCAGAAGACGAAUAUGGCAUCCCCCGGGAAAGCGCAGAGGAAAAAAUGGUACUUUAGAGGAAGACUCAGAAGAAGAUUCAGAGGACGAAUACGAGAGCCCAGAGGAAGAGUCCAUCUUAAAAAAAGAGGGUUUGAUUGA
rnacentral:rRNA from 1 species